rnacentral:rRNA from 1 species
CCUACGGGUGGCAGCAGUGGGGAAUAUUGGGCAAUGGGCGCAAGCCUGACCCAGCAACGCCGCGUGAAGGAAGAAGGCUUUCGGGUUGUAAACCUCUUUUCUGAGGGACGUAAAAAGUGACGGUACCUCAGGAAUAAGCCACGGCUAACUACGUGCCAGCACCCGCGGUAAUACGGAGGUGGCAAGCGUUAUCCGGAUUUAUGGGGUGUAAAGGGAGUGUAGGCGGGAAAGCAAGUCAGAUGUGAAAGCUCAGGGCUCAACCCUGAGACUGCAGUUGAUACUGUUUUUCUUGAGUGCUGGAGAGGCAAUCGGAAUUCGGGGUGUAGCGGUGAAAUGCGUAGAUAUAAGGAGGAACACCAGUGGCGAAGGCGGAUUGCUGGACAGUAACUGACGCUGAGGCGCGAAAGCGUGGGGAGCAAACAGGAUUAGAUACCCUAGUAGUC